rnacentral:rRNA from 1 species
AUUGAACGCUGGCGGCAUGCUUUACGCAUGCAAGUCGAACGGCAGCGCGGGCUUCGGCCUGGCGGCGAGUGGCGAACGGGUGAGUAAUACAUCGGAACGUGCCCAGUAGUGGGGGAUAGCUCGGCGAAAGCCGGAUUAAUACCGCAUACGACCUGAGGGUGAAAGCGGGGGAUCUUCGGACCUCGCGCUAUUGGAGCGGCCGAUGGCAGAUUAGCUAGUUGGUGGGGUAAAGGCCUACCAAGGCGACGAUCUGUAGCUGGUCUGAGAGGACGACCAGCCACACUGGGACUGAGACACGGCCCAGACUCCUACGGGAGGCAGCAGUGGGGAAUUUUGGACAAUGGGCGAAAGCCUGAUCCAGCAAUGCCGCGUGUGUGAUGAAGGCCUUCGGGUUGUAAAGCACUUUUGGCGGGAACGAAAAGGACUGUGCCAAUACCACGGCUCGAUGACGGUACCCGCAGAAUAAGCACCGGCUAACUACGUG